ensembl:lncRNA
UCCACUUGCUUAAAAGGGCAGAUACAGUGUGAGCCCACCUUCUUAGCACAUCUGUGAAAGGAUCUCACGCCAGACCAUCCAUUGUCUUAAUCAUUCGCUUUUAAAUUUUAAAGGCCAUAUGGCUCUAGUGUCUCUCCUCUAACAUAUUUAUCACCGCUCCUUCACCUUUUGAGUAGGCUGAAACAUGACACAUUACAUCUGUGUUGAUAGUGUUUCAAAAGUUACUUUCCCCAAGUUGUUUUCCAUUUAUUAUCCAGUCCUUUUAUUUUUUUGAAACUACUUGAGACAAUAGUCACCAAAAACAAAUCCAUGAACAUGUGGACAUCUGGGUUGUUUGAUUUCUACGCAUCCUACACUGCCACCAGAACUGUGUAAAUUUCAGUAUGGUUUGCUAGUUGGUCUGGCUGGCCCCUUGUCCGUUUUCCCAUCUUAACAUGAAAGAAAGCAGCUUUUCAUUUAACCCUGCCUCUGGUUGGAGUGGGACUACUAUCCACUAGCAAAAACAUUGUCUCUACCUUCCUCCAGAAAAUUCUCCCAGCGCUGUCUCCACUUAGAAAGAGGCUUUCCCUCACUAAUUGGUGACAUGGACACUCCUUGGAGCAGCAGAGGAGCAAGUGGCUGACUGGUACCUCCAUAUAUAGUGCCAUGGGGGCAUGGUUUGGCCCUUUUCUGAAGGUGUCCUUGCAAUUUUAAUUGGAUGGUCUCUGCUCCUCUCUGAUUUGAUUGGAUCCAUAGCAUAACAAAAGUCUCUUCUCCAGCAAUAAAAUGGUUUUGAGGUUUUGGGGACCUGCCCCAUUAAGUUAUUUCAAUAGACCCAAGAAGCUGUGGAGUAUUUGAUUUUCUAGGGCUGUAUAAGUUGCCUUUGCCCUUGGAAUUUCUUGCACUCAAGUCUUGCUGGUCUCUGGAGGAUACCACAGAUGGGUUCAUUCAACAUGGAUCCUAAGCUCCUUCCUACCCCAUAGGGGCUGGAAAACCAAAAACUACACUUCCUAGACCCCCUUGUUUCUGAUGCGAUUUGGCUUUUUCAGGUUUGAUCUUAAUUAGGAAUUGAGUUAAGUGGGAGAGAGGCUGCAGCCAAUGAUGCAUCCAUUUUGCUGAUACAGAUCCAGCAGGUGUGGCAUGGCUGAUAAUGGCCUUCAUCCUCCAAUCACAGCUAAGGCACAACUGAGAGCCAUUGUUGGAGCAGCAGCUUCCUGAUCCCCAGAUAACAGUGAAGGUGGUGUGCGCCUGGAUCCUGAAGUUUAGACAGUCGCCUCCUGUGUCAGCCUCUUGAUUUGCCAUCUUCCUGAUUGACCUAGAGAUAGCAGUUUCCUUGACAGAUGUGGGGAACUGUUUGGGUCUAUGGAAGAGUGACUCACUACUUGGUUAGCUGUUCUUUAAGUGCUUAUCUUGUUCCAUUUCAGUGCUCCAAAUGUAUCUAUCACACCAAUGUAAUAAAGAGUACACAGAGCCAUUUUCUGGCUUCCUUUGGGUUGGAUGGGACUGAUUGAACUGACCAAUGUAUCUGACCAUUCUUUGGAAAUGCAAGACUCUGAAAAGCUGCUUUUUCCAGCCAACACAACCACCAGCAAAUUUGGGGAUGAGGUCUGCAUACACACUGCUUUUGAGCAGUAUCUUCAGUGAAGGAAAAUGAAACAUAGCCUUUUAAAUUAACAUGCCAAGAGGGAUUCAAAACUUGCCAUUGCCUAGUUGGCAUUACAAAGACACCAGCUGCCAGAGUGUGAAGAAGCCUAGGCCACAUGGAGAAACCACUUGUAGAUGUUCCAGCUAACAAACUCUUCUGUGGUCCUGGCCAGCAGCCUGUAUUAACUGCUAGACAUGUGAAUGAAGAAGCUUUCAAGACUAAUCCAAUCCCACAUAUCAUCUGACUGCAACUGUGUGAGAGAUCCCAGAUACAUUUAAAGAGCCGCAUGAACACAAUUAAGAGGAAGGUCAGACUGAUUGCAAGUUCAUGAUGAGUAAAUGCUCUUUAUACUGCAAAAUGUCUUGUGCAAGGUUUCAAUUUUCAAAACCACUGGACUAUUUGCUUGCUUUUUCCACGGAAGAGCUGUUUUAUGUACACCAAGAAAGUGGAAGUUUUGUUUUGUUUGACUUUGGGUUUUCGUCCUUACAAAGCGAAGCGUACAUUUGUCCUUUAAUAGUAAUAAGCAGAAAUAAGGCAAGUAGGUACCCAUUAUUCUAGAGCAGCCCUGUCUAAUAGAAAGGUCAUGUGAACCACAUAAGCAAUUUUAAAUUUCCUAGUAGCCACAUUAAAAAUUAAAAAGAAAUGAAUGAAAUUAACUUUAAUGAUAUAUUUUAUUUAACACAAUAUAUCCAAAAUAUUACCAUUACAACACAUGAUCAAUAUUACAAAAAAUAUAACAGUGAGUUAUUUAGCAUUCUUUUUUCUUACUGAGUCUUUGAAGUUUGAUGUGCACUUUAUACUUAGAGAACAUUUCAAUUUGGAUUAGCCACAUUUCAAGAGCUUGUGGCUACCAUAUUGGAUGGUGCGGGUCUAGGAAAGGGUAACAUGUCUUUAAAAAGUAAUUUAGUGAAAGCUAUCUCCAGCCUUGACAUGCCAAAGAGAUCGCUCACUAAUGGGUCGCUACAGGUCACUAGCACUAGCUAAAGUGCACAGAUUUGCAUGAAGAACCCAGGUCAGCUGGUGGAGGAGAGAAAGAUGAAAAUGUUAGGGAGAUCUCUCAAGGUGGACAAAAAGUGGCUAAAUUAGGACCUACUUUUAGGUAAUUGCAAAGUGGACUGGUUUUGCAAAAUUAAUUUUUGCCAGAGGUGAUUUUAUUGCAAACUUCAAAUGAACUCAGUUCCAAUGAAUUUGAUUAGUUGAUUAUUUGAGCACAGUGUCACAAUAUCUGUAAGAGGCUGUUGGCAGAGGAUGAAGCAUGAUCUGUCAUUUGCCUUUUGCUGGAGUGUCUCCUAGAUGAAGUGUGCAUGAUUGGAAUGACAAUGCUGCAGGCACGCUUUGCCCAUUUGUGUAUGGUCUUUCAUAAACUCAAAAGGGACACUUAGGGGUCUCUCAGCUUCCAUAGAUCUCCCCCCAAAAAAGGAGUCGGAGAAGCCCUGACAGAUGUCAGAGAGUCCUUUGCCCUUUAUUUUAUUGUAGAAGCUCUCAGGUCACCACUCAUGAACUUCUCCUUUCUUAAUUUACAUACCUACAUACAAUAAGAAUAAAGAUGAUGAUGUUACCCUGUGCUUGUAUUGCACUUUUACUUUCGAAAUCCCUUCCACAUAUAUUAUUUAUUUUCAUUUCAACAAACUUUCUGCAAGUUAAAGAAAGCAGUCCAAUCCUACUGCCUCAAGGCCUUGGAUCUUUAAAAAAUCAAUUCAGAUCCCUGAACCUUGCUCUUUUAUCUUGCAAUAUGAAUAAUACCAGUUUUCCCUUACGGCUUUUAGUUAAAUAAGACAGCAUAUUUAAAAUGCAUUGCAUAUUGUAUGUGAUCAUUAGGUGUUAGUUACCCUCAUCGUUAGAAAUUUAAAUUAAAAAUUUAGCAAACUGUAUGGUCAGUUUUAGACAUGUUGCAAUCUUCAUGGCUAAAGUAAACACUUUGACAUAUAAAAUCAUUGACCCCUAGGACUAGAAGGCUCUGAGAUUCCAAUCAGUAACAUGCUUUGAGGAGCUACAAUAUGCCAGGCACUGUGCCAGGCAUAGAGGGUCUACUCCACACUACAAGAGGCAGAAGCUGAGGACCAUUGUUCAUGGUCACAUGGUUAAUGUAUAAUGACAGUGGCAUUAAGCUAUAGCUUUUCUAAUAAGUCCAGCCACUUUUUAUGACACUACUUCCAUCUCUUCCUCCCCUAAACUCUUAACAAUUUGUUAUUUAGCUUGUGAGUCCACAUAAACAGCACACUGGAGAAAGCUGGACAGUA